rnacentral:rRNA from 1 species
CCUACGGGAGGCAGCAGUAGGGAAUUUUCCGCAAUGGGCGAAAGCCUGACGGAGCAAUACCGCGUGAGGGAUGACGGCCUGUGGGUUGUAAACCUCUUUUCUCAAGGAAGAAGUUCUGACGGUACUUGAGGAAUAAGCAUCGGCUAACUCUGUGCCAGCAGCCGCGGUAAUACAGAGGAUGCAAGCGUUAUCCGGAAUCACUGGGCAUAAAGCGUCUGUAGGUUGUUUAGUAAGUCUGCUGUUAAAGACUGGGGCUUAACCCCAGAAAAGCAGUGGAAACUGCUAGACUCGAGUGUGGUAGAGGUAGAGGGAAUUCCUAGUGUAGCGGUGAAAUGCGUAGAUAUUAGGAAGAACACCAAUGGCGAAGGCACUCUACUGGGCCAUAACUGACACUGAGAGACGACAGCUAGGGGAGCAAACGGGAUUAGAUACCCCGGUAGUCCUAGCCGUAAACGAUGGAUACUAGAUGUUGCACGUAUUAACCCGUGCAGUAUCGUANAUAGUACGUAGUAAGUCCGUCCGUCGGUAGGUACGUCGCGCGAGAGUAGAACGUAACAAGAAGUAGUACGGCGNGAGAGAGUCGACGACGACGACGACGGAGGAGGAG